rnacentral:lncRNA from 1 species
GCCCGCCCGACGGACGGAGCCCGGGGGCCACGCACACCCAGGGCCGGGGGCGCCGGGGCCCCAGGGUGCGUCCCGGGGUGAGGGGUGGGUGCUCGCCCAGAGGGCCGCCCCUCCUGAGCAUGCGCAACCCUGGGUCCGGCCGCAGGCGCCGGCUGGGGGCGCGGACCCCGAGCGCCCAGAGGAGGGACAGUGAGAGUCUCCCCUCGAGAUACUAUGGAAAAGUACCAGUUGUUGGACAGGCUGAAGCCCGGGGCUCUGGGGGUGAACCUGGUGGUGGAAGAAACGGAAACCCAGGUGAAGCACGUGAUAAAGCAGGUGAGAGAGCGUGUCCACGGCAACAGCUCCCCUCUCCCCUCUCCUGAUCUGGGGACCGCGGGG